rnacentral:rRNA from 1 species
AUUGAACGCUGGCGGCAGGCUUAACACAUGCAAGUCGAGCGAGCGGCGGACGGGUGAAUAAUGUCUGGGAAACUGCCUGAUGUAGGGGGCUAACUACUGGAAACGGUAGCUAAUACCGCAUACCAUCAGAUGUGCCCCGAUGGGAUUAGCUAGUCGUGGGGGUAAUGGCUCACCUAGGCGACGAUCCCUAGCUGGUCUGAGAGGAUGGCCAGCCACACGGGAACUGAGACACGGUCCAGACUCCGACGGGAGGCAGCAGUGGGGAAUCUUGGGCAAUGGGCGCAAGCCUGAUGCAGCCAUGCCGCGUGUGUGAAGAAGGCUUUCGGGUCGUAAAGCUCUGUCAGCGAGGAGGCGUUACUCGCAGAAGAAGCACCGGCUAACUCCGUGCCAGCAGCCGCGGUAAUAC